rnacentral:tRNA from 1 species
GUGCCUAUGGUAUAACGGUUAUUACGGAGGUUUGUGGAACCUCAAAUUCGGGUUCGAUUCCCGGUAGGCACCCCA